ensembl:lncRNA
AAUAAUCAUAAUCUUUUCCUCAAAGAAGUUCAUGAAUUUAUCACUGCUAAAGUGAAAGUCAUCCUCUCUUGGGGAAUGCUGCUUUUUAGUUAGCUUUGCGACAGUAUCAAAAAGGAAUUUCGGAUUGUUCUUAUUUUCCUCAAUUAAGUUAAAAAAAAUAGGAUGAUUGAGCAGUAGUAAGGGCUCUACGGUACUGCACGGUACUGUCUUUCCAAGCUAGUCGGAAGACUUCCAGUUUGGUGUGGCGCCAUUUCCGUUCCAAUUUUCUGGAAGCUUGCUUCAGAGCUCGGGUAUUUUCUGUGUACCAGGGAGCUAGUUUCUUAUGAGAAAUGUUUUUAGUUUUUAGGGGUGCAACUGCAUCUAGGGUAUUGCGCAAGGUUAAAUUGAGUUCCUCAGUUAGGUGGUUAACUGAUUUAUGUCCUCUGGCGUCCUUGGGUAGGCAGAGGGAAUCUGGAAGGACAUCAAGGAAUCUUUGUGUUGUCUGUGAAUUUAUAGCACGACUUUUGAUGUUCCUUGGUUGGGGUCUGAGCAGAUUAUUUGUUGCAAUUGCAAACGUAAUAAAAUAGUGGUAUAUACACAAUGUAAUAUCUUGGCUAUAUCCACAAGAUAAUAACGUGGCUAUAUACACAAGGUAAUAACGUGGCUAUAUACACAAGGUAAUAUCUUGGCUAUAUACACAAGGUAAAAUCUUGGCUAUAUACGCCGUAAUAACUUGGCUAUAUACACAAGGUAAUAUCUUGGCUAUAUACACAAUGUAAUAUCUUGGCUAUAUACACAAUGUAAUAUCUUGGCUAUAUACACAAUGUAAUAUCUUGGCUAUAUACACAAGAGAAUAUCUUGGCUGUAUACACAAGGUAAUAUCUUGGCUGUAUACACAAUGUAAUAUCUUGGCUAUAUACACAAUAGAAUAUCUUGGCUGUAUACACAAGGUAAUAUCUUGGCUAUAUACACAAUGUAAUAUCUUGGCUAUAUACACAAUGUAAUAUCUUGGCUAUAUACACAAUGUAAUAUCUUGGCUAUAUACACAAGAGAAUAUCUUGGCUAUAUACACAAGGUAAUAUCUUGGCUAUAUACACAAGGUAAUAACGUGGCUAUAUACACAAGGUAAUAUCUUGGCUAUAUACGCCGUAAUAACUUGGCUAUAUACACAAGAUAAUAUCUUGGCUCUAUACGCCGUAAUAAUUUGGCUAUAUACACAAGAUAAUAUCUUGGCUAUAUACACAAGGUAAUAACUUGGCUAUAUACGCCGUAAUAACUUGGCUAUAUACACAAGAUAAUAUCUUGGCUAUAUGCAAUGUAAUAUCUCUGCUAUACACACACACCAUGAUAGAUCCUUAGUGACGUGGACACCGAGGAACUUGAAGCUGUCGACCCGCUCCACUACAGCCCCGUCGAUGUGGAUGGGGGUGCGCUCAGACAUCCGUGUCGUGCAGUCCAUGCUCAGCUCUGUCUUGCUGACGUUGAAGGUUGUUUGCUGGAACCAUUUGGAGUUUAAUUUGCUUGUGUUUCAUAUAAUUUUUUUUGCCCAAUACAAAUGAAUGGUAAAUAAUAUAUUGUGUCAUUUUUGG